rnacentral:tRNA from 1 species
GCCCUGGUAGCUCAAUGGAUAGAGCAGAGGAGUCCUAAUCCUCAGGUUGGAGGUUCGAAUCCUCUCUAGGGCG